GAUGAAGAACGUAGCGAAAUGCGAUAAGUAAUGUGAAUUGCAGAAUUCAGUGAAUCAUCGAAUCUUUGAACGCACCUUGCACCCUUUGGCAUUCUGAAGGGUAUGCUCGUUUGAGUGUCAUUGUACUCUCACACUCCUGAUCUUUGCAUUGGGAGCAGUGGACUUGGGUUUGCUGCUUCACCGUCGCUUACCUCAAAUAGGUUAGUGCAACUCUUGGUUGGACAUAGUACGGCGUGAUAAGUGUUCUUCGCCGGUGCCUCGCAAAGAGGGUGGCCGAUCGGGAUGUUGUGCUCCAAACCGUCUUCGGACAAUCUCUGACGACUUGACCUCAAAUCGAGUAAGACUACCCGCUGAACUUAAGCAUAUCAAUAAGCGGAGGA
rnacentral:misc_RNA from 1 species